CCUACGGGAGGCAGCAGUGAGGAAUAUUGGUCAAUGGCCGGAAGUCUGAACCAGCCAUGCCGCGUGCAGGUCAGUGCCCUAUUGGUUGUAAACUUCUUUUAUAAAGGAGUAAAACGACGCACGUUUGCCUUUUUUCAUGUACUUUAUGAAUAAGGAUCGGCUAACUCCGUUCCAGCAGCCGCGGUAAUACGGAGGAUUCGAGCGUUAUCCGGAUUUAUUGGGUUUAAAGGGAGCGUAGAUGGGUUGUUAAGUCAGUUGUGAAAGUUUGGGGCUCAACCGUAAAAUUGCAAUUGAUACUGGCAGUCUUGAGUACAGUUGAGGUAGGCGGAAUUCGUGGUGUAGCGGUGAAAUGCUUAGAUAUCACGCAGAACCCCGAUUGCGAAGGCAGCUUACCAAACUGUGACUGACAUUGAUGCUCGAAAGCGUGGGGAGCAAACAGGAUUAGAUACCCCUGUAGUC
rnacentral:rRNA from 1 species